rnacentral:rRNA from 1 species
GACGAACGCUGGCGGCGUGCUUAACACAUGCAAGUCGAGCGGUAAGGCCCUUUCGGGGGUACACGAGCGGCGAACGGGUGAGUAACACGUGGGUGACCUGCCCUCAGCUCUGGGAUAAGCCUGGGAAACUGGGUCUAAUACUGGAUAUGACUCCACGGUGCAUGUCGUGGGGUGGAAAGCCUUGUGCGGCUGAGGAUGGGCCCGCGGCCUAUCAGCUUGUUGGUGGGGUGANGGCCUACCAAGGCGACGACGGGUAGCCGGCCUGAGAGGGCGACCGGCCACAUUGGGACUGAGACACGGCCCAGACUCCUACGGGAGGCAGCAGUGGGGAAUCUUGCGCAAUGGGCGAAAGCCUGACGCAGCGACGCCGCGUGAGGGAUGACGGCCU